AAGUCGUACGCGGUAUGCCUUACUUUGCACGUCGUCCAGGGUAUCCUUACCGGGUCUUAGUGUAGUCGGACCGGGUGACCAGGGUUUCUAAACGGGGCCACUGGGGAGCGAUAACGUGGCACAAGGUUUCCUAAUACCGCAUAAGAUCUACGGAUGAAAGCGGGGGAUCUUCGGACCUCGCGCGGACGGAGCGGCCGAUGGCAAAUUAGGUAGUUGGUGGGAUAAAAGCUUACCAAGCCGACGAUCUGUAGCUGGUCUGAGAGGAUGAUCAGCCACACUGGGACUGAGACACGGCCCAGACUCCUACGGGAGGCAGCAGUGGGGAAUUUUGGACAAUGGGCGAAAGCCUGAUCCAGCCAUGCCGCGUGCGGGAUGAAGGCCUUCGGGUUGUAAACUGCUUUUGUACGGAACGAAAAGCCUCUUUCUAAUAAAGAGGGGUCAUGACGGUACCGUAAGAAUAAGCACCGGCUAACUACGUGCCAGCAGCCGCGGUAAUACGUAGGGUGCAAGCGUUAAUCGGAAUUACUGGGCGUAAAGCGUGCGCAGGCGGUUUUGUAAGACAGAGGUGAAAUCCCCGGGCUCA
rnacentral:rRNA from 1 species